CUCAGGAGUAAUUUAAUGAUGGCCUCUUCGGUAGUGGAUAAAAUACAGUCUUGUUGUAUCAGUUAAGGUGUGUUCGCAAAUAUAGUUCAGUCAACACUAGUUUUUGAAGGCUAGCUCAUGAUAUUUGGCUAAUAUCUGUCAUGUGAUAAAUGAUAUGUGCUUUCUAUUUCUGUCACAAAUUAGAUAUGUUACAUGAAGUUUCAUCGAUAGGGACUUGUCUUAUAAUAUAAAUAUUGCUAAAAUUGAGUGUCACUGAUCGCAAACAGAAAAAUGUGGAACAUGAUGUGUGAUGUUAUGCCCACAAUCUCGGAGGAUAGCAUCUCGCAGAGAUCAUCCCAAUUCAGCGGCGAAGAUGCAAACUUUGAACAGCUCAUGGUAUCGAUGCUGGAUGAACGAGAUAAGCUGAUGGACAGUCUCAGAGAAGCACAAGAGAGACUUGGAGAGACGGAAAACAAAUUACAAGACAUCGAAAAGGAAAGAGACAGUCUACAUAGACAAAUAGCUGCUAAUUUACCUCAGGAGUUUUCGACAUUAACAAAAGAAUUGACACAAGCACGAGAGGCGCUGCUAGAACGAGAUGAAGAGAUAGGAGAGCUUAAAGCGGAAAGAAACAACACACGGCUGUUGUUGGAGCACUUGGAAUGCUUGGUUUCGAGGCAUGAACGAUCGUUAAGAAUGACAGUAGUUAAAAGACAAGCAGCGUCUCAAAGUGGAGUUUCCAGUGAAGUGGAGGUCCUCAAAGCGCUCAAAAGUCUAUUCGAACAUCACAAAGCAUUAGAUGAAAAGGUUCGGGAACGUUUACGACUUUCAUUAGAAAAGAAUACUGAGCUUGAAGAAGAGCUAUGUCAAGCAAAAGAAGAGGUAAAUAUUUAUUGCAAUUUUC